UACGAAGGGGGCUAGCGUUGCUCGGAAUCACUGGGCGUAAAGGGCGCGUAGGCGGCCAUUCAAGUCAGAGGUGAAAGCCCAAGGCUCAACCUUGGAAUUGCCUUUGAUACUGUUUGGCUUGAGACCGGAAGAGGUAAGUGGAACUGCGAGUGUAGAGGUGAAAUUCGUAGAUAUUCGCAAGAACACCAGUGGCGAAGGCGGCUUACUGGUCCGGUUCUGGACGCUGAGGCGCGAAAGCGUGGGGAGCAACAGG
rnacentral:rRNA from 1 species